rnacentral:misc_RNA from 1 species
AAAGUCGUAACAAGGUUUCCGUAGGUGAACCUGCGGAAGGAUCAUUACAUGAUUAGUGAUUCUGGGGUGACUUGCUCUCUCCAGGACCUAUCUACCCCUCUGUCUACAAAUACCCACUGUUUCCUCGGUAGGCUUGCCUGCCUAAGGGGACCUUUCAAUCCUAUGUAAUAAUAAAGUAUCGGUAUUUGAAAAAAUCAUUUACAACUUUCAACAAUGGAUCUCUUGGUUCUG